UACGUAGGGUGCAAGCGUUAUCCGGAAUUAUUGGGCGUAAAGAGCUCGUAGGCGGUUUGUCGCGUCUGCCGUGUCGAAAACCCGGAGGCUCAACCUCGGGCCUGCAGUGGGUACGGGCAGACUAGAGUGCGGGUAGGGGAGAUUGGAAUUCCUGGUGUAGCGGUGGAAUGCGCAGAUAAGUCAGGAGGAACACCGGAUGGACG
rnacentral:rRNA from 1 species